rnacentral:rRNA from 1 species
UACGGGGGGGGCAAGCGUUGUUCGGAAUUACUGGGCGUAAAGGGUGCGUAGGCGGCUUUCUAAGUCGGAUGUGAAAACUCUGGGCUCAACCCAGAGCCUGCAUCCGAAACUGGAGAGCUAGGGUUCUGGAGGGGAAAGCGGAAUUCCUGGUGUAGCGGUGAAAUGCGUAGAUAUCAGGAGGAACACCGGUGGCGAAGGCGGCUUUCUGGACAGAUACCGACGCUGAGGCACGAAGGCUAGGGGAGCAAACAGG